UACGGGGGGGGCAAGCGUUGUUCGGAAUUACUGGGCGUAAAGGGCUCGUAGGCGGCCAACUAAGUCAGACGUGAAAUCCCCAGGCUCAACCUGGGAACUGCGUCUGAUACUGGAUGGCUUGAAUCCGGGAGAGGGAUGCAGAAUUCCAGGUGUAGCGGUGAAAUGCUUAGAUAUGACAUAGAACACCGAUAGCGAAGGCAGCUUGCUACACAAUUAUUGACACUGAGGCUCGAAAGCGUGGGGAUCAAACAGG
rnacentral:rRNA from 1 species